UACGGAGGGGACUAGCGUUGUUCGGCAUUACUGGGCGUAAAGCGCACGUAGGCGGAUUUGUAAGUCAGGGGUGAAAUCCCGGGGCUCAACCUCGGAACUGCCUUUGAUACUGCAAAUCUCGAGUCCGGAAGAGGUGAGUGGAAUUCCUAGUGUAGAGGUGAAAUUCGUAGAUAUUCGGAGGAACACCAGUGGCGAAGGCGGCUCACUGGUCCGGUACUGACGCUGAGGUGCGAAAGCGUGGGGAGCAAACAGG
rnacentral:rRNA from 1 species